UGAAUUGCUCCUGAUCGAUGGAUCAUCACGAGGAUGGUGAUUGAUCCACUGAGAUUAGUGUACAGAUUGCUUUCUUUGAUGGACGAGUCUUGAGUCCACAAUGUGGGGACACUGGAGCAAUUGUGCAAGUGCUUGUUAGAGAGCAAGGGUACUGAGCAUGACCAAAGCAAGUAGUCACUUGGAUGUCUAUCCACUCGUCAGUGACUUACUUGAUGCUGCAGUUGUAUGACUGGUCCUUUGACCUGCGAUGCCUCAGCUAUUCACAGUGAGGUUGCUGUAGUUUGAUGAGCACAUAAACAUGGGCCCUAACCAUUUGGGUUCUUGUAGUGCAGAUUGACUGCAGUAGGUUCAUUGUAGGAGUAGGGGUGCAUCUAGAUGGAAUCUAUCGACCUUGAUAGGUUAAGAGAGAUCCUAUGUGAUUUAUGAGACU
rnacentral:lncRNA from 1 species